GGCUUAUGAUUACAUCCAUGCGAUUGCCUUGAAGGAAUCUUUGAUAACAAAGAAAAAUUAUAGCUCCUACUUCACAGGCUCUAUACUCCCACGGAUGACAUAUUUCUCUUGAAAGUCAUCACUUUCGAUUUUCUUAAGAUCAACUUUGAUGGUAGCGUUCAAAAUAAAGAUGAUCUUGGUGGGGCAAGCUUCGCCAAUAGAAGUGCUAGCAGUGCACUAAUUGUAACUGCUAACAUCAUACUAUUUGAUACU
rnacentral:lncRNA from 1 species